rnacentral:rRNA from 1 species
GAUGAACGCUGGCGGCGUGCCUAAUACAUGCAAGUCGAGCGAAGCGGGGACGGGUGAGUAACACGUGGAUAACCUCCUAUAAGACUGGGAUAACUUCGGGAAACCGGAGCUAAACCGGAUAAUUAUCGCUGGAUCAGCGCUGCAUUAGCUAGUUGGGAAGGUAACGGCUUACCAAGGCAACGAUGCAUAGCCGACCUGAGAGGGUGAACGGCCACACUGGAACUGAGACACGGUCCAGACUCCUACGGGAGGCAGCAGUAGGGAAUAUUCCGCAAUGGGCGAAAGCCUGACGGAGCAACGCCGCGUGAGUGAUGAAGGUCUUCGGAUCGUAAAACUCUGUUAUUAGGGAAGCGGUACCUAAUCAGAAAGCCACGGCUAACUCCGUGCCAGCAGCCGCGGUAAUUC